rnacentral:lncRNA from 1 species
GGGUCGUGCUGCACUGACAAGCAUUGAAGGUACUGUUCUUAACACUUGUAACCAUUGUAACUGCAUCCUGCUUGGCAUACCUCCCCUCUGCUAUUGUAAGAAAAAUGUUCCCCUUUGAUCAUUGUGUAGAAGAAGCCUGAACACCACCCUUCUUGGUGACACCUGUGCCCACAGCCCCUUCCUCUAACCUGCUUUUCUGCUUCUAUAAAAUUCUGCUUCAACUAGGGUCCUACUCCCCUACCUAAAUCAAGGUGUAAAAGAUAAGCCCCUUCCUCAGGGCUGAGAGAAUUCUGAGCAUUAGCCAUCUCUCGGUCACUGGCAAAUCAAUAAAGGACUCUUAAUUUGGAACUCAGAACAAGGCUCCUUCCUUCUAACUCACUUGGUUACAACAUUUGGAGGCCCUGGUGAGAUAUUCACCACCGGGUGCAGAUUGGGCUUGUUCCGGACUCCCCUGGGGGAGGAGGCGGACUAUAGGGGAGGUGCCCUCUGAGAAGUUCCAGGGCUCCAUAGGCCACCCCUUGCCGGAGGAGAGCAGAUCAACUCCCAGCACUCUCCACCAAAUUAUUCUUCAGAGUCCUCGGUCAUGCUCCACGGAGAAGCAGUUAAGGUGGUGGGAACUGACUCAUGGAUUCAUCACACUCAGCAGAAGCCUUGGACCCCUCCUGAAGAAAGCCAUAGACCCUUCUCUCCACAGCCUGAAGUUCCAGGAGACGACCCUUCAUACACCUGCGAGCCGUGAAAGGAUCUACAUCUGCUCUUCAGAAAAGAUCACCAGGAAAGUAACUACUCAUGAGAUGAAUUUACAUCCUGGCAUUAAAAGAACUAUCACUUUUAACUUUGCUGUCUCUCAAACUCCAAUUAUUCCUUUCAUUGGGGUGGGGGGGAGUCAAAAAUUAGGAAAACUUGGUGCUGGCAUUAGAAAAGUGACUCUAUUCAGUUAUUAUAAGCUAUCUUAGGAUUUAAUUAGUAACUUAAAGAGCCUGCUUAUUCUCUCAGCAAAGGCUGCUCACUCUGCAAAACAGCUUAACUCUUUAGCUGCCAUAUCUCUUCAAAGUAGAAGGGCCCUAAAUCUGCUAAUGACAGAGAGAGAGAGGGAACCUGUCUCUUUCUAGGAAGAAAUGCUGCUACUUUGUAAACCAAUUAAGUCUUGUUUUACAGAAGUUAAAGAACUGAGGAAUCAGAACACAGGGCUAAAGACCUUCAAGUAGUAGUACUGUGGAGCUUAACAACUAGCCGUCCCGACUAUAUACUCUUCUAGGCCUGUUUAUAACCAUUCCAUAUUUGUUGGCCUCUGGGCUUUUCAUCUUUAACCUCCUUGUCACAUUCUCUUCUUCUAGAAUCAUAAGGCCACAAAAAAUCCUGUAAUGGGAACCCCAGAUGUUCUUGGCUCAUAAGCUCUAUCAUAGACCUCGGGAUACCCUGAAAGACUCCCCUCUGAGGGAAACCUCAACUGCAGGGCCCCUUCUACACCCCAUUUCAGCGGGAAGUAGCUAAAGAGCUAACACCCAUGUCCCAACAGCAGUUGGACUUUCCUGUUCAGAAGGGUGACUGAGGGAAUGUAUUCUCUUCCCGGAUCCACAAGGGGGCAUAGUUUCAAAGAUAACAACUUCCCAGUGACAUGCCCAACCUGCCGCCCUCCACGUCUGCAUCCGAGAGCUUAGAAGUCUAACUUAUGCAUGCACAGGAAGAUAGAAAGAUCAAUCACUCUAGCGGAAGUUUAAAAGAACUCCUUUCAUAGGACAGAAAAUGAAUAGGGUGGGAAUAACACGUAGGUUAAAAGUCCCCUUCUCCCACAUCUGGGCAGACUCCAUUUCUGGAUCCCCUUCCAUGACAACAUGGGAGCUGCUCUCUAUUUCUUUCUCCUUUUUCUCUCUCUGCCUAAGUAAAUCACUUUCUGCAAAACUUUUUGGGGUCCGAUAUUUACUUAUAAGCCCACCAUGCCUGGAGGGGUCCUCUCGCCCAUUCUUGGGUGAGUGAGGGACCAAGAACCUGGAAGAACACACCCUUUUGGGGAGCUGAGCCUCCCCAGUGACCCGGAACUCAGUCUCAUCUUCUCAUAAGUGGGUGUUGAACAAAGAGAACACAUGGACACAGGGAAGUGAACAUCACACACCAGGGCCUGUCAGGGGGAGUGGGGCUAGGAAAGGGGUAGCAGAGACUGGGAGGAUGGGGGAGGGAUAGCAUUAGGAGAAAGACCUAACGUAGAUGACCAGCUGAUGGAUGCAGCAAACCACCAUGGCACAUGUACACCUAUGUAACAAACCAGCACAUUCUGCAUAUAUACCCAGAACUUAAAGCAUAACAAUUUUUAAAAAAAGAAUUAUGUCUUCAAAAAAAUAUUAAAGCUGGGUGUUUUUCCUUUUAACUGGGAGUCAAAGGUUGUAUAAUGAUAGCCAAGAAGAGUCAAACCUCAUUUGUACACUUUCCAGCUGAUACUUCCUUAAAAAUAAAAUGAACCAGACAUCCUCAGUGGACACCCUUAGUUUAGUUUACAAGGAC